AUUUGUUUCUCAGUCCUGGACUCUUUAGCACUGAGUGUUCUGCAUCCCCUGGUUAAAAAACCUCUGUAAUGAUUUUUGCCUGCUGUUGGCAGUGAUCUUUAUCUUCAGUGUUUUCCCAGGCUCUUAGAGCAGCUUUAAGGGGGAUACCUUGUUUGAGGUUUUUCGGGUCAUGCCCAUGUUCUUUCUUCAACCUUCUGUUUCUGGAGAGGCCCAUCCCUGUGUCGGCAUCGUGACAGAGUUCUUGGCAAUAUCCUGAAAGUCAAAUCUGUUCAUUUAGAUUCAAGUGGUGACCAUGGAGCAGACAGCAGCCCAUUGGCAUGCUGGGGUAAAGCUGGUAUCCAGGGUGCUUAAUAUCCUAAACUCUAGCAUUUCUCUCCCUUUUAAUAACACCAACAAGCUGAUAUGAUUUUCUGGAUCUUAGAAGUGAUUUUCUUUUUUUAAUUUGUAAGAGUCGUUUGCAUUAUUUGCUUUUUCUUUUGCAGCUCUAUGUCAAGGCCAGAUCAAGCUGCUGCACGUCAUGGAUCUUUCUUAGCAGCACUCACGAAGAGCAGCUGUUUACCGGUUUGUUGAUUUACGCUGAAAGCACCGGCCUGCAGCCCUCCUCAUGCCUGACUUCAUCCAAUUCUAGAGGACACUGGACCAUCAGGUCCAGCCUGUGCCACACUGGUAUGUUGGCCAUUUGGAAUACUAGCAGAUCUCUGUGUGUAAGACUGAUUUAUUUUAGAACACAAGCAUCAUAACCUUAGGAAUCUAGUCUCAGUGCAUGUAUUAUGAUGGUGCUCUAUAUUUGUUUUUUUUUGUACUAAACAUUUUUUUAAUUUUAUUUAGCUAAUUUUGAGAUUUAUAAGACAAAAAGCGCAAAAUAUGUAAUCUAAAUUGCUGCUUUCAUUUUGAAGGGAAUUAUGAAUUGUGUUUUGAAAAAUACUUGUUGAGAAGGUUUUUUUUUUAAAUAAGAAAACAUUCAAGCAUUUUUCAAAAUGCGUUAAAAUGAUUUAUUUACUAGGAUUUGCUCUGCUAUUUUCUUGCUGCAAUUUUUAUUAGAACAGUUUUUUUCUCCAAUGUAAUUUUUUAUUAAAUCUUGAAUUAAUGAGUUCAUAUUUAUCUGUUUAAAUUUUAAAUUUCGCUUAAACGAAAUAAGGUUUUGUAAAAAUAAUUUGCACAGUGGUUCGUUACCAGGCAUUUCAGGAUUUUAAACAAUGUACAAUAGAUUACCCUGUGUAACAUUUGAAAAUGAAUGUUGACCUCAGAGGAAUGUGAUCAGUGGGUUGCACAAACACCUCACAGUCAUGUGUUCUGGCCUGUUCACUGUACCAUGGUGUAACUUUAGCGCUCCUCUCUGUUGGAUAGCUUGUAGCCACAUGAAAGAGUUAUAAUAAAAACAUUAGAAAAUAUAAUUUUUUCACUGUUUGAACUAUGUCAUGCAGCCUUGUUAUCUGUUUUUGGCUGUUUUAAGACCAAAUCCUGGUUUCAGCUCCUAGUGGGAAAGGAAUGCUCAGUGAAAAGAAAAUGGAAAAAAAUAUUUUUUUAACAAAAUGUGGGUUUCGUUUUGCUCUGAAACGGGUAACGCCAGCUGCCACAAACCCGUAGAUCCGAACUUGUGGUGACUGGCUGCGCAAGCUCGUAUCUAUAGGUAUGUGUCUUCCUGGCAAAUACAGCUUCUAACCAAUGUUUGUGGGGGGAAAAAUGUUUUUCCUUUUUAACCAAAAAAAUCAUUGUAAGAUCACGAGAUCUGGUCUGUCUCAUGUGUUACAACAAUUGGACAUUGGGGAGGAGUCUUUCUGUAUGACCCCACCCAGAGGGAAGAGGGUUGGGCUGUUUGAUGGCAUGAUGUGACAUUGUUUCAGAUCAGCAACCGGGGCUGCCUCGUACAAACAGUAACAGUCCUUCAGGCUAUUGAUUAGACAUUUAUGUAAAUGUAUGGAUUCAUAAAAAAAAAAAAAAAAUUUUUACAUUUUUUCUCAGCAUCCAUUAUCAUGAUAGUGGAGCAGCUUUCAUGUCUGCAGAGGCAGAUUUGACCUGCAUCUUCUUCCAGUGUUCCGCAGGUUGAGGUAGUAGGUUGUAUAGUUCAGAGUGACACCACAGGAGAUAACUGUACAGCCUCCUAGCUUUCCCUGAGGAAACACAACUCCCUGAUGGACUAUUUCAAACACCGGCUUCAAUGCAAUAUUGUUCCGACAGAGGUUUUAUCUCUCGGCUGUAAAUGUUGUGUCUUCGUAUCAGGUGGUUUUCGUAUCUUUCCAUAAACUAAUAUUGUAGAUUCUUUUUUAUUUUGUUCCCCUGCAAGGUUUGACAUGUUUGUAAAGCACUGGAGAUUGAAAAAAAAAACAGAGAUAAAAUGCAGCUUCAACAUGAAAAAGGACAUCUUGUCCACCGUUUUUUGAGGCAGGAAUUAAAAGUAUGGUGGAGGAAUUAUAUUGCAGAGAGAAAUCUUUAAGUUUUGGGGGUAAAUGAAAAACCCAACAGGCUGUGAGCAGCGAGGUUUGUGGGACGCUGUAAUAAAAGAGACGCCACUGAAGGGAAACACCAAACAGCCGCAGGGGGAAGAGCACGGUCUUGGCAGUCAAUUGUGUACAAAGUUCACUUUUGCUUAAUCAAAACGGUAUAUUUCCUCUGCUGUGCGGCGAAGGCACUGUUGUGAUUAAAACAGGCAGUCACAACGUUCACCAACAAAGCCGCAGACCUCCAGAAUCAUGCAGGGU
rnacentral:lncRNA from 1 species